UGGAUCAUUGAAACAUCAUUGGCCCCAUCACCUAUGGCCAGUGUCAUGUCAUCAGUACGGCUCUUGAUUAGAUCAACAAUUGCUGCCUUCUGCAAUGGAGCAACACGACAGCAAAGCACAACCUUACAGGAAGUUGCAAGGUCAAAAAGUUCUGAUUCUAGUUCUUUCUCCAAAAUGUACACCAAACUAUUCCCAUCAAUUAUAAGUGCUAGUGGCACUUUCACAAUUCCUUCUUUCUUCCCUUCAGAUAUCUCAAGGUAGUCAAUUUCAGCAUUCUUAUUGCAUUUUAAAUUGCGGUUUCCUCCAUCUGAUGUUUUCACACCAUGCUUGGCCUUGGCAUCAGCCAAAAGUUUUCUGCAUUCGUUCUCUGAAUUGCCAUUUAUAAUUAUUUGCUCCAUAUCCAUUGUCAGAAGUUUGCAGGAAAGCCCAAUAGAAAUUGCUGUCUCUUGCUUAUCUCCAGUCAGAACCCAUACCUUGAUACCUGCUUGCCGGAGAGAUUCAAUGGCUUCUGGUACACCAUCUUGUAGCUUGUCUUCAAUUCCAGUAGCCCCAAGUACAUUUAAAUCACAUUCUAUAAGAGCUGCUGUUUGACGUAGUUUUGUAGCUCUGUCAGUCAAAGAAGUGCUUGCAUCAUCAAACCUGCAUUGCCACAGCUCAAGUUCUGCCUCUGAAAGAUCUCUUGCAGCAACCACAAGUGUACGUAGACCUUGUGAUGAAUAUUCAGUCAAAUGACAUUGUGUUGCAUNNNNNNNNAUCCCUCUCAUUGUCUUUGGCCAAAAUACUGAACAUGGAAGUAUCAGCACCUUUCACCAACACCUUCACAUCAUCGUUGGGAAAUCUAAUGACAACAGACAUUCUUUUCCGCAAACUAUCAAAUUCAUGCAAGCCCAAUACGUCAAACCUUAGUUUCUCACCAUUAACAUCAAUCACUAUGUGCCCAGAUGUGCGUUCAAAGAGAGUAUAUCCAUAAGCAGAGGCUGCAGCAACUAGUGCUUGUUCAUCAGGAGAUUCACCCUGAUAUUCAAUAGUUUCUACAUCUUCAUGACAUUGGCUCUCGGCACAACUAGAAGAUCUAUCACAGGUACGAAUAGGGAUAACGGUAUUACAUGCAGCCAGUGUAAGGAAAAACUCAUGCACAGCAAUCCUCUCAUCUCCAACCGAGUCCUUGUGCAACAACCUC
rnacentral:misc_RNA from 1 species